GCAGGGGUAGCCAAGCGGACAACGGCGCAAGGUUCAGGGCCUUGUGGCGAAGGCCUUCGUGGGUUCGAAUCCCACCCCCUGCA
rnacentral:tRNA from 1 species